rnacentral:lncRNA from 1 species
GUUUGUAUGUGGUGCUGAGGAUCGAACCCGGGCCGAACGCAUGCCAGGCGAGCGCACUACCGCUUGAGCCACAUAACCCAGCCCCAAUUAUUUUUAUUUUAUCCUUUUAAUUUCUCUUUCUCUGGGACUCUCAAUAAGCUGAGAGUUACAAUAUUAAGCCACAAGGAUAUCCCAAUUUACAUUUCCAAACUGCCACCUGCCAGUUUCCUUCACAAACCUGAUUUUCUGGGCAGACGGAUUCCCUCUGCCAAAGGAACAUGACAGGUUUCUUGCUGCCUCCAAACUUCAGCUCAUACUUGCCCCUUCACCCAGAUCACCCGCUUCUGCUACGCUUUGACAGCUCUUAAAAUCCAACCUCUCAUUUCUUCAAGAAUUUUGCAUGAUUCCCACCUGGAGUGCCCAGGAUCUUCUGAAUGUAGCUUUUAUUGUGUCUUAUACCCACUUGGUCACUUUCUGUAUCACCAUCAGGAAACAUUAGUGAAAGUCUUUCAAAUGGGCAAGGAAAAGAAAAGUCACUGAAUGUCCAGUCUAGGGUACACUUCCAGUCUUUUGUGGUCUUUGACAAUUCUGUGAAUCAGAAAAAGAAUAAUAAUGCAAAUGAUUUGUGUCCAUAAAAAUGCAAAUUACUUAAGUCCAGUAGAAUUCGAUCAAUUAUUACCCUGUGGAUAGACUUCUUUUGUAUCUAAUUGUAACAUCAUUUCAACAUUCGGAUGAUGUAUGUGUGUGUGUGUAGCUUUUGGAAUUCUCCUUCAAACCAGUUAGAAUAUAUUAUGUGAAUAUACUAUUAACUAAUAUAUUAAUAUUAUAACUAAUAUUAAUUAAGCCACAAGGAUAUCCCAAUUUACAUUUCCAAACUGCCACCCGCCAGUUUCCUUCACAAACCCGAUUUUCUGGGCAGAUGGAUCCCCUCUGCCAAAGGAAUAUGACAGGUUUCUUGCCGCCUCCAAACUUACAACUAAUAUUAAUAUAUUAGUUAAUAAUAUAUUAACUAAUGACGAUUAGUUAAUGACUAAUCCUCAUUAGUUAAUGACGUAAAUAAAAUCUUUAUAUUUUCU